UAAGGAAUAUUGGUCAAUGGACGAAAGUCUGAACCAGCCAUCCCGCGUGCAGGAAGAAGGGGCUCUGCCUUGUAAACUGCUUUUGAAUGGGACGAAAGAGCUAUAUGCGUAUAGUGUUGACGGUACCAUUAGAAUAAGCACCGGCUAACUCCGUGCCAGCAGCCGCGGUAAUACGAAGGGAGCUAGCGUUGUUCGGAAUCACUGGGCGUAAAGCGCACGUAGGCGGAUAGUUAAGUCAGGGUGAAAUCCUGGGGCUCAACCCCAGAACUGCCUUUGAUACUGGCUGUCUCGAGGUCGAGAGAGGUUGGUGGAAUUCCUAGUGUAGAGGUGAAAUUCGUAGAUAUUAGGAAGAACACCAGUGGCGAAGGCGGCCAACUGGCUCGAUACUGACGCUGAGGUGCGAAAGCGUGGGGAGCAAACAGGAUUAGAUACCCACGUAGUCCCUGAGCGGGCUGGCAAGGCGCAU
rnacentral:rRNA from 1 species